GGUAUAACUUUUAUACUAUAAUAUAGAAGUAUAAAAGACGUGGAGAGUUUUUAUAACAAAAAAUCACCAAUUCUAUAAGUUUCUAAAGUUCAUACAGAUUUCAAUUAGCGAUGGCUAAACAUUUGUUGGGACUUUUUUUUUUUAUUGGAGCGUUAUUACUUUCAAUUAUUACUGCAGAGAUAGUAAACGAUCAUGUCCACAGAUGUUUACUAUUCGGUGAAUGCAUCUGGGAUAGCGAUUGCUGCUCGAAUCGAUGUUUACCGCUACGCUUUCACACUGGUACGGGCUUUGUAUGUAACUGAGUGUGAAAUAUCGUUUAAAUAAAAAUAUAAUCCAAUUUGAUAUUUAUAAACAGCUAUUAUAAGGCAUACAACAUUUUAUGUAUUAUUAUAAAAUAUAAAAUAAAUAAAAAAUAA